GCAGGUUAGACGUGCGUCGCGAGAGGGAACCCGGUGGGAGUCCGGGACUGUCCCGCAGCGGUAUGCAGGAACGACCGCCGUCACAAGCACUGGUCUGAGAAACAUCGGAGACCGGGAAGCGACGGCCACUAGGAGCACCACCGCGGUGCGCGCCUGCGAGUCCGAAGACCUGCCAGC
rnacentral:ncRNA from 2 species